GCUCCCAUCGUCUAGCGGCAUAGGACAUUGCCCUCUCAAGGCAAAGACCGGGGGUUCGAAUCCCCCUGGGAGCG
rnacentral:tRNA from 1 species